rnacentral:rRNA from 1 species
UACGAAGGGGGCUAGCGUUGUUCGGAUUUACUGGGCGUAAAGCGCACGUAGGCGGAUUGUUAAGUGAGGGGUGAAAUCCCAGGGCUCAACCCUGGAACUGCCUUUCAUACUGGCAAUCUCGAGUCCGGAAGAGGUGAGUGGAACUCCUAGUGUAGAGGUGAAAUUCGUAGAUAUUCGCAAGAACACCAGUGGCGAAGGCGGCUCACUGGCCCGAUACUGACGCUGAGGCACGAAAGCGUGGGGAGCAAACAGG